UAAUACGUAGGGGGCGAGCGUUGUCCGGAAUUACUGGGCGUAAAGGGUGCGUAGGCGGCCCUUUAAGUCGGAUGUGAAAGCCCGCGGCUUAACCGCGGAAUGGCAUUCGAAACUGGAGGGCUUGAGUGUCGGAGAGGGUAGUGGAAUUCCCAGUGUAGCGGUGAAAUGCGUAGAUAUUGGGAGGAACACCAGUGGCGAAGGCGACUACCUGGACGAUAACUGACGCUGAGGCACGAAAGCUAGGGGAGCAAACAGGAUUAGAUACCCUGGUAGUCCUAGCCGUAAACGAUGGGUACUAGGUGUGGGUGGUUUCGAUACCAUCCGUGCCGUAGUUAACGCAUUAAGUACCCCGCCUGGGGAGUACGUGCGCAAGCAUGAAACUCAAAGGAAUUGACGGGGGCCCGCACAAGCGGUGGAGCAUGUGGUUUAAUUCGAAGCAACGCGAAGAACCUUACCAGGUCUUGACAUCACCUAGCAAGCCAUGGAAACAUGGCCCUCCUUCGGGACUGGGUGACAGGUGGUGCAUGGUUGUCGUCAGCUCGUGUCGUGAGAUGUUGGGUUAAGUCCCGCAACGAGCGCAACCCUUGCCUUUAGUUGCCAGCAUUAAGUUGGGGACUCUAAAGGGACUGCCGGCGCCAAGUCGGAGGAAGGUGGGGAUGACGUCAAAUCAUCAUGCCCCUUAUGAUCUGGGCUACACACGUGCUACAAUGGGUGGUACAGAGGGAAGCGAAGCUGUGAGGCGGAGCGAAUCCCAGAAAGCCACUCUCAGUUCGGAUUGCAGGCUGCAACUCGCCUGCAUGAAGUCGGAAUCGCUAGUAAUCGCGGGUCAGCAUACCGCGGUGAAUACGUUCCCGGGCCUUGUACACACCGCCCGUCACACCACGAAAGUUCGCAACACCCGAAGCCGGUGGCCUAACCCGUAAGGGAGGGAGCCGUCGAAGGUGGGGCGGAUGAUUGGGGUG
rnacentral:rRNA from 1 species